UCAUAAUUGCACGUUUAUUCUUUACGGCUGCACCAUAAGGUAAGUUCCCCAUUUUGAAGAUGGGGAAACUGAGCCCUGGAGAGUAAGUAACUUGCUUGCAGUGACACAGCUGUUAAAUGGCUAAGUUAGGGCUGAACCCCGGACUUCUGAUUCCAAUCCCAUGGUCUCUGUUGAUGAUAAAAUGCCACCUCUCUUGAAGCACUUGAAAUAUAACAAUUUACAGACAAAUGGACUUGUACAGAGAAACGAAGCACAUUUGUGUGUUAUAAACCUGAUUAAGAACAGAAUUAGUAGUGAAGUCUAGUUAAGAGUUAUUCGAACCUGGUCCAUAUGAUGGUGAUGGUUCCAAAGCAAACUGCCCGUUAGUGAGGUUUGGUCUAAUGCUCCUCUACCUAGAAGCCCUGGGAAAACCAGUUGCAGAACAUCUUUUAAAAGUCUGGCUUUCUGUGUUGUGAAAAGAAUUAGCCAUCUUCAGAACUGCACGGUGAGUCGAAGGUCCCUGCAUGAGACUAACAAAAUAUAGGAAUCCUUUCAGAUAGGCCAGUCUGGCUGUCCUCACUGUGGCUGCGUGAGCCGGGCAGUGAGUCAUUGACCACUUAGCUGGCCGUGGCUUUCAUAGUCUAAGGUUAUAAAUCUCUAAGAGAAUCUCUAGAUCUUUUUCCUUGAAAAAAAAUGAACGAACUUAAACUUUCUUCCAGACCGGUGGAAGCUUAUUGACAAUGCCCCUUAGGGCCCAACCUCCCCUUACAAUAUGAACUGUAGACUUCCCUCUCGUAUCUUCUCUCUGCUGUUACUCGUAGUAUCUUCCUCAGUACUGUCACAAACAGCGUUAACCUUGCUAAUCAUCCAUUUCUUAUCGGUGCAGGAAUAGUGAUAUUCACAGGAUGGUGGUGAAGACAGCCCACACAAAGCGCUGACCCUCUGCCAGUCACGUGAGCAUUCACUGUCCUCAGCUCCGAUGAUCCGAGUCGGCUCAUCGGUUCCUUCACUUUAUGAUGUCACAACCUGAGGUUCAUUUCCAGUUCGUGAGGACCCACUGAGCACUGCGGUAGGGUUGGUGGGGGAUCGCGAAGCCUGAUGAAACCGCGGAGGAAGAAUCAAUGACUUGGAGAAGUGGAGGCUGUCUUAGGCACACGGCCAAGCCCUUACAGACCAGCUUUUGUACUGGGAUAAGCGUUCCAAAGAAUACCCAGCCCCCCAGCAAAGAAGUCAAGAAGAUGAGCACU